rnacentral:lncRNA from 1 species
UUUGAGAUAGCUUUAGCUAUGUACGGCACUUAGUGUGCGAGAUAUCGAGUGUGGCACUUAGCGUACGAGGCAUUGAGUAUUCAACGGCAUUCCGUGUAUGCAUGAACUUGUUAUGGAUUAUUACAAGUAUGUACAUGUAUAUUAUGAGCUUAAAAUCGAAGAAGUUAUAAAGUUUGUAUAUAAGCUUAUGAAUAAGUAGGUGAAAGGUUUGUUAGUAAUCAUAAAGUACAUGAUAAUAUGUUUAGACUGAUGAAUGUUGUAUUUGUGUUUAGUUAAGUUUAUAUCAUACGAG